GACAGAGGGGCAAGCGUUGCUCGGAAUUACUGGGCGUAAAGGGCGCGUAGGCGGAAUGGCAAGUCGGUCGUGAAAUCCUUCGGCUCAACCGAAGAACGUCGAUCGAAACUGCCGUUCUUGAGGAUUGCAGAGGAGACUGGAAUUUACGGUGUAGCGGUGAAAAUGCGUAGAUAUCGUAAGGAAGACCAGUGGCGAAGGCGGGUCUCUGGACAGUUCCUGACGCUGAGGCACGAAGGUCAGGGGAGCAAACAGG
rnacentral:rRNA from 1 species